GACGAACCGAGCGAACGUUGUUCGGAAUCACUGGGCUUAAAGGGCGCGUAGGCGGGUCCUCAAGUCCGGGGUGAAAUCCCACAGCUCAACUGUGGAACUGCCUCGGAUACUGGGGGCCUCGAGGGUGGUAGGGGUAUGCGGAACUAUCGGUGGAGCGGUGAAAUGCGUUGAUAUCGAUAGGAACUCCGGUGGCGAAGGCGGCAUACUGGACCACAUCUGACGCUGAGGCGCGAAAGCCAGGGGAGCAAACGGG
rnacentral:rRNA from 1 species